UGUUGGGAUGGCUCAAUCAUG
rnacentral:miRNA from 2 species